GAUGAACGCUGGCGGCGUGCCUAAUACAUGCGAGUCGAGCGGACGGACGAGAAGCUUGCUUCUCUGAUGUUAGCGGCGGACGGGUGAGUAACACGUGGAUAACCUACCUAUAAGACUGGGAUAACUUCGGGAAACCGUAGAUAAUACCGGAUAAUAUUUUGAACCGCAUGGUUCAAAAGUGAAAGACGGUCUUGCUGUCACUUAUAGAUGGAUCCGCGCUGCAUUAGCUAGUUGGUAAGGUAACGGCUUACCAAGGCAACGAUGCAUAGCCGACCUGAGAGGGUGAUCAGCCACACUGGAACUGAGACACGGUCCAGACUCCUACGGGAGGCAGCAGUAGGGAAUCUUCCGCAAUGGGCGAAAGCCUGACGGAGCAACGCCGCGUGAGUGAUGAAGGUCUUCGGAUCGUAAAACUCUGUUAUUAGGGAAGAACAUAUGUGUAAGUAACUGUGCACAUCUUGACGUUACCUAAUCAGAAAGCCACGGCUAACUACGUG
rnacentral:rRNA from 1 species